UACGAAGGGGGCUAGCGUUGUUCGGAUUUACUGGGCGUAAAGCGCACGUAGGCGGAUUGGUCAGUUAGAGGUGAAAUCCCGAAGCUCAACUUCGGAACUGCCUUUAAUACUGCCAGUCUAGAGUCCGGAAGAGGUAAGUGGAACUCCUAGUGUAGAGGUGGAAUUCGUAGAUAUUAGGAAGAACACCAGUGGCGAAGGCGGCUUACUGGUCCGGUACUGACGCUGAGGUGCGAAAGCGUGGGGAGCGAACAGG
rnacentral:rRNA from 1 species